rnacentral:lncRNA from 1 species
GAGCUGGCAGCAGAAAGAGCACUGGAGAACUUCCUUGCCUUGAUGAUUGCAGCACCACGCUGCUGGACGGUCGUGAUGAAUUCCCCAUUUAGCCUGUUAGAAAGAAAGGGCGACCAUCAGUUCCUAUCUACCAGGAAAUAGAAACAGACACCGAUAUCAUAAAUUGUGGCAUUUGAGAUUUACCAUUCAUCAUCAGCAACAAGUUCACGAACAGGCUUAUCUCCACUGGAAGUCUUCACUGUGGCAUGGUUAACAUCAGGGUACUGAGAGGAUGAGUGGUUACCCCAUAUAAUAACAUUCUUCACAUCACUGACUUGGACAUUAAGUCUCUCAGAAAUUUGGCCAAGAGCCCUGUUGUGGUCCAGACGGGUCAAGCAGGUAACAUUCCUCUCAGGAAUAGAUGGAGCAAAUUCUUUCAAGAUAAGAGCAUUGGUAUUUGCUGGGUUGGCAACAACCAGAACCUGCAGAGCACAGACAAGGUAUUGCAAAUCAACAAGUAGAAACAGCAAAGAAACAUAAUGAAGCAGACAUGGCUCCUCCGAAAAACAAGGGUACAUAAUAACUGAAAUUUAGAUAGAUCAUUUGAGUUCACAUUUUAUUGAGGAUACUUGUCAAGGUACAAGGCAAUGCAGAUAAUCACGGUCAUUCAAGCUCAUAAAAUGAUAAAAUUGGGUAAGCCCAUUUCAUAGUGGCCGUAGAGUGCACUAUGAAUGUAUCACCACCCAGAUGAUUAAAUCACAUGACAACAAUGUAUCCUAAAUGACUAGACUCAGUGCGUGGUGACGAUGGAUCACAUCAAUAAUGAGCCCUCUUCCACCUAUAUGUAGUUUGAGAUUAAGUUUCUUUUGAAGUGGACAACCUACAUGACUGAACCCAGUGUGAUAGAUGACAGUGCAUCACCACCUUGACAAAAUUAAGUGCAUGAUGACAGCUACUAUAAAAAUUGAAGGGUGUAUAUGAUGCAGAUGCAGCCUAUACCUUGCAGUUGGGGGCCGCAUGAGCUUCGAGGGCAGAUGCUUGACCUUUGUAGAUUGAAACAUUUUUCGACAUAACAUCUUUCCUCUCCAUUCCCUCCUUCCUGGGGAAUCCACCAACCAUGACCGCAACAUUCACACCAGUGCAGGCCUCCACAACAUCAGUUGUCGCGACGACUCC